rnacentral:tRNA from 1 species
GGAGGGGUGCGUGAGCGGUUGAAACGAGCAGUCUUGAAAACUGCCAGGUCGCAAGGCCUCGUGGGUUCGAAUCCCACCCCCUCCGCCA